rnacentral:rRNA from 1 species
GACGAACGCUGGCGGCGUGCCUAAUACAUGCAAGUUGAGCGCUGAAGGUUGGUACUUGUACCAACUGGAUGAGCAGCGAACGGGUGAGUAACGCGUGGGGAAUCUGCCUUUGAGCGGGGGACAACAUUUGGAAACGAAUGCUAAUACCGCAUAAAAACUUUAAACACAAGUUUUAAGUUUGAAAGAUGCAAUUGCAUCACUCAAAGAUGAUCCCGCGUUGUAUUAGCUAGUUGGUGAGGUAAAGGCUCACCAAGGCGAUGAUACAUAGCCGACCUGAGAGGGGGAUCGGCCACAUUGGGACUGGGACACGGCCCAAACUCCUACGGGAGGCAGCAGUAGGGAAUCUUCGGCAAUGGACGAAAGUCUGACCGGGCAACGCCGCGUGAGUGAAGAAGGUUUUCGGAUCGUAAAACUCUGUUGGUAGAGAAGAACGUUGGUGAGAGUGGAAAGCUCAUCAAGUGACGGUAACUACCCAGAAAGGGACGGCUAACUACGUG